rnacentral:rRNA from 1 species
CAGUCGCCGCGGGAAUACAGAGGGUGCAAGCGUUAAUCGGAAUUACUGGGCGUAAAGCGCGCGUAGGUGGUUUGUUAAGUUGGAUGUGAAAUCCCCGGGCUCAACCUGGGAACUGCAUCCAAAACUGGCAAGCUAUAGUAUGGUAGAGGGUGGUGGAAUUUCCUGUGUAGCGGUGAAAUGCGUAGAUAUAGGAAGGAACACCAGUGGCGAAGGCGACCACCUGGACUGAUACUGACACUGAGGUGCGAAAGCGUGGGGAGCAAACAGGAUUAGAUACCCCUGUAGUCCCUGUCUCUUAUAC